UUGACCUCGGAUCAGGUAGGGAUACCCGCUGAACUUAAGCAUAUCAAUAAGCGGAGGAAAAGAAACCAACAGGGAUUGCCUCAGUAACGGCGAGUGAAGCGGCAAGAGCUCAAAUUUGAAAGCUGGCCCCCUCGGGGUCCGCGUUGUAAUUUGCAGAGGAUGCUUCGGGUGCAGCCCCCGUCUAAGUGCCCUGGAACGGGCCGUCAUAGAGGGUGAGAAUCCCGUCUGGGACGG
rnacentral:rRNA from 1 species